rnacentral:rRNA from 1 species
GAUGAACGCUGGCGGCGUGCUUAACACAUGCAAGUCGAACGGAAAGGCCAGUGCUUGCACUGGUGCUCGAGUGGCGAACGGGUGAGUAACACGUGGGUGAUCUGCCCUGCACUUUGGGAUAAGCCUGGGAAACUGGGUCUAAUACCAGAUAGGACCAUGCUUUGGAUGGUGUGGUGGAAAGUUUUUUCGGUGUGGGAUGAGCUUGCGGCCUAUCAGCUUGUUGGUGGGGUAAUGGCCUACCAAGGCGUUGACGGGUAGCCGGCCUGAGAGGGUGUACGGCCACAUUGGGACUGAGAUACGGCCCAGACUCCUACGGGAGGCAGCAGGGGGGAAUAUUGCACAAUGGGCGCAAGCCUGAUGCAGCGACGCCGCGUGGGGGAUGACGGCCUUCGGGUUGUAAACUCCUUUCGCAACUGACGAAGCUUUUUGUGACGGUAGGUUGAGAAGAAGCACCGGCUAACUACGUG